rnacentral:rRNA from 1 species
UAACCUGCCCAAGAGAUCGGGAUAACACCUGGAAACAGAUGCUAAUACCGGAUAACAACAGAUGAUGCCUAUCAACUGUUUAAAAGAUGGUUCUGCUAUCACUCUUGGAUGGACCUGCGGUGCAUUAGCUAGUUGGUAGGGUAACGGCCUACCAAGGCGAUGAUGCAUAGCCGAGUUGAGAGACUGAUCGGCCACAUUGGGACUGAGACGACGGCCCAAACUCCUACGGGAGGCAGCAGGC